UCCUCCCUCUGGCGGCGUGCUUAACACAUGCAAGUCGAACGGAAAGACCCUGCUUUUGUGGGGUGCUCGAGUGGCGAACGGGUGAGUAACACGUGAGUAACCUGCCCUUGACUUUGGGAUAACUUCAGGAAACUGGGGCUAAUACCGGAUAGGAGCUCCUGCUGCAUGGUGGGGGUUGGAAAGUUUCGGCGGUUGGGGAUGGACUCGCGGCUUAUCAGCUUGUUGGUGGGGUAGUGGCUUACCAAGGCUUUGACGGGUAGCCGGCCUGAGAGGGUGACCGGCCACAUUGGGACUGAGAUACGGCCCAGACUCCUACGGGAGGCAGCAGUGGGGAAUAUUGCACAAUGGGCGGAAGCCUGAUGCAGCAACGCCGCGUGCGGGAUGACGGCCUUCGGGUUGUAAACCGCUUUCGCCUGUGACGAAGCGUGAGUGACGGUAAUGGGUAAAGAAGCACCGGCUAACUACGUG
rnacentral:rRNA from 1 species